GUCUUUUUGAUUUUAAUUUAAGGUUUAACCUGCCCAAUGAAUAUUUGAAUGGCCGCGGUAUUUUGACUGUGCUAAGGUAGCAUAAUCAUUAGUUUUUUAAUUAAAAGCUGGUAUGAAGGGUUGGAUGAAAAAUUGACUGUCUCUAAUUAAUUUUAUUAGAAAUUUAUUUUUAAGUUAAAAAGCUUAAAUAUAUUUAAAAGACGAGAAGACCCUAUAGAGUUUAAUAUAUUUAAUUUAUUAAUAUUUAGGAUUUAUUUUUAAUAAUUCUUAUGUAUUUAAUUGGGGUGAUUAAAAAAUUUAAUAAACUUUUUUUUAAAAUUUAUAUUAAUUAAUAAAUUAAUGAUCCAAGUAUUUUGAUUAUAAGAUAAAUUACCUUAGGGAUAACAGCGUAAUUUUAUUAUAGAGUUCUAAUCGAAAAUAAAGUUUGCGA
rnacentral:rRNA from 1 species